rnacentral:lncRNA from 1 species
GGAGCACAUGGUUUGAGAUGAGUUUGCAAGGCUGUGCUCUGGAGAUUUCACCUGUUGAUAGUUCUUCCCACAUCUUAAUGAAUUAUAGCCAGCAGUGGGCAGUCAGCAGCCUCCCUUCUAGCCUCCUCUCUACUUCUCCCACUCCCAAUUUUACACAAAAAUGGGUGACUCAGGAAGUAACAGACACCAGAAAACUUAGUUUAAUUUAAAUUAUUUCAAUCUAAUUUAAUUCCAGC